AAAUUUCGGUGCGAAAAAAGUGAAAUAGAACAGAACGAGUGAAAGGUUUUAAAAUAAAGUGCACCGGCAAUGGUCUGCGGCUUCUCGAGAAUAACAGCCCUGGCACCAAGUGUAAAAUUGAAGUCUGCGAUAUUCAAGCAUGCUCACAACCAUGCCUAAUUACUGUUCGGGCCUGCUUGGAUCAAAUCUGAUGCUUGUCGCGAUGAUUCGUCCCUGUGAGAUUCAUCGCUACUCGGUCACCAGCAAGCGAAAAUCAGAUUACUCACAGCAAUCAUUCAACGGACUACUUUUUCCAUAAUCCUACGCCAUAGAAGGACCAGGCCAAAAUCAACACGUGUGACUGCGGAACAAUCAGGAUCUGCAAUCUUUGGUAGAAAGAAAAGGCUCGGUCAACGUUCAGCAACUCUUGCCAUCGGAAUCCGCGGAGCUGCUUGAAGUGGUGUUAACCUUUAGUUCCCCCGACGUGGUGGAGUCGCGAUCAACGGAAACCUCUCUGGAAAUUGAUUAACUUCAAGUCAUUCGUAGCUCUUGUGCUUUACUAUAAUGAGUACUGAUAAAAAUGCAACUAUUAUUUACA